rnacentral:rRNA from 1 species
GACGAACGCUGGCGGCGUGCUUAACACAUGCAAGUCGAGCGGUAAGGCCCUUUCGGGGGGUACACGAGCGGCGAACGGGUGAGUAACACGUGGGUGACCUGCCCUCAGCUCUGGGAUAAGCCUGGGAAACCGGGUCUAAUACCGGAUAUGACUCCAUGACGCAUGUUGUGGGGUGGAAAGCCUUGUGCGGCUGAGGAUGGGCCCGCGGCCUAUCAGCUUGUUGGUGGGGUGANGGCCUACCAAGGCGACGACGGGUAGCCGGCCUGAGAGGGCGACCGGCCACACUGGGACUGAGACACAGCCCAGACUCCUACGGGAGGCAGCAGUGGGGAAUCUUGCGCAAUGGGCGAAAGCCUGACGCAGCGACGCCGCGUGAGGGAUGACGGCCU